GACGAACGCUGGCGGCGUGCUUAACACAUGCAAGUCGAGCGGUAAGGCCCUUUCGGGGGUACACGAGCGGCGAACGGGUGAGUAACACGUGGGUGACCUGCCCUCAGCUCUGGGAUAAGCCUGGGAAACCGGGUCUAAUACUGGAUAUGACUCCAUGACGCAUGUUGUGGGGUGGAAAGCCUUGUGCGGCUGAGGAUGGGCCCGCGGCCUAUCAGCUUGUUGGUGGGGUGANGGCCUACCAAGGCGACGACGGGUAGCCGGCCUGAGAGGCGACCGGCCACACUGGGACUGAGACACGGCCCAGACUCCUACGGGAGGCAGCAGUGGGGAAUCUUGCGCAAUGGGCGAAAGCCUGACGCAGCGACGCCGCGUGAGGGAUGACGGCCU
rnacentral:rRNA from 1 species